rnacentral:rRNA from 1 species
AGAGUUUGAUCCUGGCUCAGGAUGAACGCUAGCUACAGGCUUAACACAUGCAAGUCGAGGGGAAACGAUAUUGGAAGCUUGCUUCCGAUAGGCGUCGACCGGCGCACGGGUGAGUAACGCGUAUCCAACCUGCCCAUCACUUGGGAAUAACCUUGCGAAAGUAAGACUAAUGCCCAAUGACAUUUAUAGAAGGCAUCGGAAAUGAAUUAAAGAUUUAUCGGUGAUGGAUGGGGAUGCGUCUGAUUAGCUUGUUGGCGGGGUAACGGCCCACCAAGGCGACGAUCAGUAGGGGUUCUGAGAGGAAGGUCCCCCACAUUGGAACUGAGACACGGUCCAAACUCCUACGGGAGGCAGCAGUGAGGAAUAUUGGUCAAUGGGCGAGAGCCUGAACCAGCCAAGUAGCGUGCAGGAUGACGGCCCUAUGGGUUGUAAACUGCUUUUAUAGGGGAAUAAAGUGAGCCACGUGUGGUUUUUUGCAUGUACCCUAUGAAUAAGGACCGGCUAAUUCCGUGCCAGCAGCCGCGGUAAUACGGAAGGUCCGGGCGUUAUCCGGAUUUAUUGGGUUUAAAGGGAGCGUAGGCCGGAGAUUAAGCGUGUUGUGAAAUGUAGAUGCUCAACAUCUGCACUGCAGCGCGAACUGGUUUCCUUGAGUACGCAUAAAGUGGGCGGAAUUCGUGGUGUAGCGGUGAAAUGCUUAGAUAUCACGAAGAACUCCGAUUGCGAAGGCAGCUCACUGGGGCGCAACUGACGCUGAAGCUCGAAAGCGCGGGUAUCGAACAGGAUUAGAUACCCUGGUAGUCCGCGCGGUAAACGAUGGAUGCCCGCUGUUGGGCCAACUGGUUCAGCGGCCAAGCGAAAGCAUUGAGCAUCCCACCUGGGGAGUACGCCGGCAACGGUGAAACUCAAAGGAAUUGACGGGGGCCCGCACAAGCGGAGGAACAUGUGGUUUAAUUCGAUGAUACGCGAGGAACCUUACCCGGGCUUGAAUUGCAGAGGAAGGAUUUGGAGACAAUGACGCCCUUCGGGGCCUCUGUGAAGGUGCUGCAUGGUUGUCGUCAGCUCGUGCCGUGAGGUGUCGGCUUAAGUGCCAUAACGAGCGCAACCCCUCUCCAUAGUUGCCAUCAGGUGAAGCUGGGCACUCUGUGGACACUGCCACCGUAAGGUGCGAGGAAGGUGGGGAUGACGUCAAAUCAGCACGGCCCUUACGUCCGGGGCUACACACGUGUUACAAUG